CGUCCAAACUUCAUGCUGUAUCCCAAAAGGAAGUUGAACCAAGGAACAAGCACUACAAGGGAAGAGUGUUAACCACUCAGACAGGACUUUAUUGUAGCUUUAUUCUUCUAAUCCAGUUUUCCUUGGCCAACCAUAAUGUGUUUAACACACUUUUUAAACUGGCAGGUAUGUCUUUAUAAUAAAAUAAAAAAAAGCCAUCUACAGCAUCUUAUACUAUUCUGCUCAGUGAUCCGUGUAAAAGACAGGUGUUCUCUAUAUGCUAUAAGAGAAAGUUAAAUAUGCCAUUAGAAUUGUUCAUUGUCAAGCUCCAUUUCUUAUCAGUUAGGUCACCACUGUGUCAAAGACCUAACUUCAGGCAGGGCUGUCUUUAAUAUUUAUUGGACCCUGGGUAAACAUUUUCUUGGGCCUUCCUGAAUCUACUUAUCAACUAUUGGUAGGAAGGGGGUCUCAAGGGGCAGCUGCUUGGGGCCCCACAACAAUGACUGGAUCCGGGGCAGCUGCCCUUUUGCCCUGUGUUAAAGACAGCACUGACUUCAGGAAUGAGCCAUGAAUCAGUAAGGCAUGAUUUAGGCCUGAAUAUAUGGUAGUGCUACACACAGAUCAUGUGGCCAGUGCUGAGCUUUUUCAUAUUCCAUGGGCUUCAACCAGAUGCCUUUCAAACAACCACCAGCUUGUACCUAUUUAUUGCUCUAUUACUGCAUUCUGCCUACAUUUCAGUCAUUGCACCAGACACAACAUAAACUCACAGAACAUGACUCAUAAUGCUUACAUAGAAUGGUUUGGCAGCGGGAUAGAAAGGACCGUGUUGUUCAGUCACACAAAAGUGGCGCCAUUUAGACUUGUAUGUUAGGAAAGCAGUAUAAAACGAAACGUAAAAGAAAUGACAGCAACCGUUGUCAUUUGUCUUUUUAUGAUUCAAUACUUCCAAGACAUUCAAUGUCAUCUCUGGUAAAGGUGAAAAGAGCACUUAGGACGGGAGGGAUGGCUGUUUAUUUUUCUAUUUUUUUGGCUAUGCCGAAAAUCUAAACAGAUUUGGUGUGUCAAGGUGUGUUUUUAGCAUGCCCUGAGAAUGAUGGUAAUGUACGGUAGAUAACAAUGUCAUCUCUGGUAAAGGUGAAAAGAGCACUUAGGACGGGAGGGAUGGCUGUUUAUUUUUAUUUUUUUUGGCUAUGCCGAAAAUCUGAACAGAUUUGGUGUCAAGGUGUGUUUUUAGCAUGCCCUGAGAAUGAUGGUAAUGUACGGUAGAUAACAAUGUCAUCUCUGGUAAAGGUGAAAAGAGCACUUAGGACGGGAGGGGUGGCUGUUUAUUAAAUUUUUUUUGGCUAUUCCGAAAAUCUGAACAGAUUUGGUGUGUCAAGGUGUGUUUUUAGCAUGCCCUGAGAAUAAUGGUAAUGUAGAUAACAAUGUCAUCUCUGGUAAAGGUGAAAAGAGCACUUAGGACGGGAGGGAGGGAUGGUAGUUUUAUUUGUUUUGGGCUAUGCCAAAAAUCUGAACAGAUUUGGCUUUUCAAGGUGUGUUUUAGCAUGCCCUGAGAAUAAUGGUAAUGUAUGUCAUUUCUGGUAAAGGUGAAAAGAGCACUUAGGACGGGAGGGAGGGAUGGUGUUUUUUUUUUUUUUUUGGGCUAUCCUAAAAAUCUGAACAGAUUUGGCUUUUCAAGGUGUGUUUUAGCAUGCCGUGAGAAUAAUGGUAAUGUAGGUUACAAUGUCAUCUCUGGUAAAGGUGAAAAGAGCACUUAGGACGGGAGGGAUGGCUGUUUUCUUGUUUUCUUUUUUGUGGCUUUGCCGAAAAUUGGAACAGUUUGGUGUGUUCUAGCAUGCCUUGAGAAUGAUGGUAAUGUAAUGUUAAAGCAACGAAUAAACACAUUUCACAUCA